GGAACGCUAAUACCGCAUAGGUACUACGAGAGAAAGUACGAGAGCUUCAGGCCUUGCGCUAUCAGAUGAUCCUAAGUCGGAUUAUCUUGUUGGUGAGGUAAUGGCUCACCAACGACGACGAUCCGUAACUGGUCUGAGAGGAUGAUCAGCCACACUGGAACUGAGACACGGUCCACACUCCUACGGGAGGCAGCAGUGGGGAAUAUUGUACAAUGUGCGAAAGACUGAUCCACACAUGCCGCGUGUGUGAAGAAAGUCUUCUGAUUGUAAAGCACUGUAAGUUGCGAGGAAGGGCACUAAGCUGAUACCUUGCUGGUUUGACGUUACCGACUGAAUAAGCACCGGCUAACUCUGUGCCAGCAGCCGCGGACAUACGGAGGGUGCAAGCGUUAAUCUGAAUUACUGGGCGUGAAGCGCGCGUAGGUGGUUUGUUAAGUUGGAUGUGAAAGCCCCUGGCUCAUCCUGCUAACUGCAUCCCUGACUGGCUAGCUAUAGUACGGUACAGGGUGGUGUAAUUUCCUGUGUAGCGAAGAAAUGCAUACAUAUAGGAACGAACACCGCUAGCGAAGGUCACCACCUGGACUGAUACUGACACUGACGAGCGAAAGCGUGGGGAGCAAGCUGGAUUACAUACCCUGGUAGUCCACGCCGUAAUCAAUGUCAACUAGCCGCUGUAAUCCUUGAGAUUUUAAUGGCGCACCUAACGCGUUACGCUGACCGACUGCGGAGUACGGGCGCAAAGUUAAAACUCUUAUGAAUUGACCGCGGACCGCACGAACGAUGGAGCAUGUGGCUUAAUUCGAAGCAACACCAAAAAUCUUACCAAGUCUUGACAUGCACACAACUUUCCAGAGAUGGAUUGGUGCCUUCNGGAACUCUGAUACAUGGGCUGCAUGGCUGCCGUCAGCUCGGGUCUGGAUAUGUUGCGUUAAGUACCGUAACGACCGCAUCCUUGUCUUAGUUACCAGCACGGUAUGGUAGGNNAUCNUACGCAACUGCCAGUGACAAACCGGANGAAAGGUGGGAUGACUUUANNCUUACUGCCNUUACGGCCUGGGUUACCANGGGCUNNAAUGAGGGGUACCAAGGGUGCCAGGCCCCA
rnacentral:rRNA from 1 species